CUACGAUAAGAAUUGAGAAAGACAAGUUAUAGCAUUACGGCCACUGUUCUGACCCACUUGACCAAAAGAAUCAGACUAUAAUUUUCUAGUCGUCCUAACUAGUCAAGAAACAAUUUUCCGAGUACAAACUGAAAAUCCCUUUCCUUCAUCAAGUUCACUGGCGUGUAUAAUGGACAAACAACCAUAGUGCACCAACGCAGCUUACUUUUGGAGUUUUAAGAUGGCGCCUCUCUCUGUUUUACUAUUCCUUCUUUUCUCUCAUCUUCCGUUUCUUUACUCUGCUGAAACAUCGAAAUACCCCUCUCCUUGUCCAAACUUCAAAUGUGGAAAAUUGGGCGAUAUUAGGUUUCCUUUCACUCCAGCAACGAACCCGGCCUGUGGGCUGUUGAAAGUAAAUUGUAGCGACCACAAGAUCCAACUGCAGAGGCGAGGAAGAUGGUAUAAAGUUGAGAACAUCUCUGAGGCUGACACCAUUUCUAUCAGUGAUUCAGAACUUCAGAAUCAUUUGGAUAAAGAACGAUGUGAUUUCUUUGAGGAAUUCUCUACUCCCCGCUCUAGAAUGGUCUCUUUCCAAUUUGUACCUAAUAUUACCUUGUUCAAAUGCAACCGCAGCUUCAACAGCACUCACGGCUCUGGUUUUAGUUAUGACACAACUUGUAACAAUAGCCUUUAUUUUAAUCCCACAAAUGGUAGUAAUCCAAGUUUUCUUCCUCAUCGCUGUUCAACCAUUCUCUUCCCAGGACUUUGGGUUCGAAAUCACAAUCACUACGACAUAAAAUUGAAGUUUCAAGCUCGAGUAUAUGUAUCUCUUGAAUGUAGCAGUUGUCAUUUUGAAAGAGGAGGUCAAUGUGAAAUUAAGAGCAAUGGAGAUUUUUUCUGUGCUAAUGCAAGAAGACCUGCCAAAGGUGUUCAGGAUGACGCAGGGGGACAAAAAUGGGGAUGGCGACAAACACUAGCUUUAGUUCUUGGACUUGCUGCAAUAAUGGUUAUUUCACCGACCAUAAUUUUAAUCUGGUGUCGAUAUGAGAGAAAAUAUUCCUCCUCAAACUUCAUCCCAUCAAAUAAUUCUUAUGAUCCCUCCACAAAGUCAGAAAUCGAAGGGGGCAGUGUCUACUCUGGUGUCCCCAUCUUCCCCUAUACCGAAGUUGAAGAAGCCACAAGUAACUUCGAUUCUCAAAAGGAACUUGGAGAUGGAGGUUUU
rnacentral:misc_RNA from 1 species